UACAGAGGGCGCGAGCGUUGUCCGGAAUCACUGGGCGUAAAGGGCUCGUAGGCGGUUUGUCGCGUCGGGAGUGAAAACACCGGGCUUAACUCGGUGCUUGCUUUCGAUACGGGCAGACUAGAGGCAUGCAGGGGAGAACGGAAUUCCUGGUGUAGCGGUGAAAUGCGCAGAUAUCAGGAGGAACACCGGUGGCGAAGGCGGUUCUCUGGGCAUGUCCUGACGCUGAGGAGCGAAAGUGUGGGGAGCGAACAGG
rnacentral:rRNA from 1 species